rnacentral:lncRNA from 1 species
UAUGCACCCGCCUUAAUUGCUCCGGGCCAGGUACCAGAUAACUAGAGACAGCUGCUAUGCUCCAGCGUCCCGGAAAUUACUCAGAUUAGCCGAUCCAGAGGGAAUCUGAGGAACCCAGCUAACUCCACCUCACUUGCCACACAUAAACUGCCCCCUACAUACAGGUCCAGCCUGUGGGACAUUUUCCAGGUGCAACCCGCUCUGUGGCCCUGAGUGGCAGCCUUCUCUCUUUCAAAGUUGACCAUUUAUCACCAUAGCCUGUAAUAGGUGUAGGAUGGACCCACAGGACUGUGGGAUUUUCUUCCUGGCAGCCCUCAACUAAUACUAGCUUCUGUAGCUAAUAAAUGAAGAUAACUGUACUUGUCUCACACUUGAAACCAAUACUGAAGGUCAUGCAAAAGGCUAUAGAGAAGCAGAUGUAACAGAAAUUGUAACCAGAAAAUUCUCACAGAACAGAUGCCCUUGCAAUUGAAAAGCACUCCCUCUAAUAAUGCUUGGCAUAAUUUUUGUUAGCACUGAUCUAGGCGCUGCCUGAAGGGACUUUGUAGAUGCAAUUAAGAUUACUGUCCUGAAAAUAGAGAAAUCAUCUUGGAUUAUUUGAUGGAACAAAUCUAAUCACUUGAGCCACUAAAAGCAGAGAAAUUUUUCCAGCUGGAAGUGGAGAGAUGCAGCCAAGCGAUGAGGCAGAAGGGGAAAUAGGAGGUUUGAUGCAUGAGAAGUAGUUGAUCCGCUGUUGCUGGCUUUGAAGAAGAGAGACAACAUCCAGGGAAUGUGGAUGGCCUCGAGAAGCUGAAAAUGACCCCCUGGCUAAAGGUCAGGCAAGAAAGGAGAACCUCAGUUUUAUAGAUGCAAGGAACUGAAUUCAGUCAACCCUCUGAAUGAGCUUGGAAGCCAAUUCUUCUCAGAGUGUCCCGAUAAGAACCCAACUAGCCAAGACCAUGUUUUCAUCCCUGUGAAACCAGAAGCAAAGAAACCAGCCUAGUCAACCCAGACUUUCAAUCUAUAGAGCUGCGAAUUAAUAAAUUGGUAUUCUUUUAAGCC